AGUGAACGCUGGCGGCAGGCCUAACACAUGCAAGUCGAGCGGAUGAACGGUGCUUGCUCCUGCAUUCAGCGGCGGACUGGCGAGUAAUUCCUAGGAAUCUGCCUAUUAGCUUGUGAUAACGUGCGGAAACGGGCGCUAAUACCGCAUACGUGCUGACGGCGAAAGGGUGGGAGCUUCGGACCUCACGCUAUCACAUGAGCCUAGGUGGGAUUAGCUAGUUGGGGGGGUAGAGGCGUACAAAGGCGACGAUACGUAGCUGGGCUGUGAGGCUGAUCAGUGACACUGGAAAUGAGAGACGGUCUCGACACUCCGGGGGGGCAGAAGAGGGGAAUAUUGGGGAAUGGGCGCAAGCCUGUGACAGCGCUGUAGCGUGUGGGAAGAAGGUCUUCGGAUUUUAAAGCACUCUUAGUUGGGAGGAAAGGAAGUACGUUAAUACACCGCUGUUUUGACGUUACCCACAGAAUAAGCACCGGCUAACUCCGUG
rnacentral:rRNA from 1 species